rnacentral:rRNA from 1 species
AUUGAACGCUGGCGGCAUGCCUUACACAUGCAAGUCGAACGGUAACGGGCCUUCGGGUGCCGACGAGUGGCGAACGGGUGCGUAAUACAUCGGAACGUGCCCGAUCGUGGGGGAUAACGAGGCGAAAGCUUUGCUAAUACCGCAUACGAUCUACGGAUGAAAGCAGGGGACCGCAAGGCCUUGCGCGGACGGAGCGGCCGAUGGCAGAUUAGGUAGUUGGUGGGAUAAAAGCUUACCAAGCCGACGAUCUGUAGCUGAUCUGAGAGGAUGAUCAGCCACACUGGGACUGAGACACGGCCCAGACUCCUACGGGAGGCAGCAGUGGGGAAUUUUGGACAAUGGGCGCAAGCCUGAUCCAGCCAUGCCGCGUGCAGGAUGAAGGCCUUCGGGUUGUAAACUGCUUUUGUACGGAACGAAAAGCCUUCUUUUAAUACAGGAGGGUCAUGACGGUACCGUAAGAAUAAGCACCGGCUAACUACGUG